rnacentral:lncRNA from 1 species
CUCCAGUUUAAUAUCUUUCAAUGCUUAAGUCAGCCGAAGCCUUAAGAAUAGAUAGUAGAAAUAGAAAAAGUGGAAUGUGAGAAGAGAAGUUUUGGAUGAAAAAAAUAAAAAAUUUUGGUUCCUUUUAGUAGGAAAAAAAGUUCAGCAGAGUCUGGACUUUUUGAGUUGAGAACUUACCUCUCAGAGAGUACCUCGUCCCUCUUUAUAUAGGGAGGAUUUGCUUAUGCCGUUAGGAGAGUUUGUUAGGCCAUUAAGAAUUUAUUAGACCGUUAGUUUAUUAUAAUAGAAUGACCAGCUGUAUGGAGGUUACAGACUGUUCGUCGAUGUGGGAAUUAGCUGUAGUAUAGCUGGAAGAUAGUUAUUGUGGGGUUGGACAAUAGGCGUAAUAGAGCUAUAGAGUGAUUGUCGUUCUCCUAGGUUACAUCGGUUGUAGACUGAUGUAUCUAGUGGCAGAUCGGAUGAAAUUCGAGUUAAUCAUAAUAUCCUGCUGGAUCAUUUCAGAUCAACAC